rnacentral:lncRNA from 1 species
ACCUCUGUUGUGAUUCCACCUACCCCCCAGACAGGGGCAAUCCAGGAUAAAGAGAAGACGGUGCCAGAGUCAUGCCAGCCGGGAUUGUUCUCUCGCCCCGGAUUCACUACAGAACUAAGAGUCCCCCAUGCUGGUCCUCUCAGGCCAUCUGGAGUUGGGAAAAGCAGACGGAAGCAAGGCCAGGCCCCCUGUCGACGAGGAGGGCACGGAGGCUGGUGCUGCCUCAGGCUGCCUCCACGGUACAGGAAGAAGGCAAGGAG